ACUGCACUCUGACAGCCUGGAUGACAGAGCAAGACUCCAUCUCAAAAAAAAAUAAGAAAAAAUAAAAGGUUACUUGUUGGGGCUUCAUAAUAGGGCAUCUGGUUUUCCUUGGUUCUUAGGCCAGAGCAUGAAUGAAAGUGUUUGGCUUUAACUCAUACAGGUGAUGGAAAUAUGGGGCCCCCCCACAUCCAGGACUCCAGGACAAGGAUAAGGGUUCGUCUCAGUGGGACCUGCAGUUCUAUCACUGAGGUCCACAGAUGCUCCUUUCCCGCCCAAAAAAGCAGCUGGAACGCCACAGGCAGCCAGGGCCGGGGGGAUGCCAAGCGAUCUCAGAGGUUCUGCAGCCCCCCAGCAGCCCCUCCCAGCCCCACCUCAGACCGCUGGGGCCCAUGCAGGCCUUUUCGUCAGUGGGGGUCUUACCAUGGUGCCUUUCCUUAAAUUGAUAUUCUUUACUUAUUCUAGUACUUUAAAGGAAUGCUUUUUUAUUACCAUGAUAAAAGAAAUACCUCUAUCAUUGAUAAUCACAAAAAUAGACACAGUAAUAUGUAUUGUUCUUAAACUUGAGCUAGGAACUGUUUCCAGCAUGGAAGGAAAGAAAGAGAAUAAAGAGUGAAUCACUUUUCACUGUAAUUCAAUGUCGGUAAUGUCAGGUGUAUGACUUGGCAACACUGCCCUAGAGACAAGGAAAUGUUUCUGGGGCAGGCACGCUGGCUCUGAUGUGCCCAGGCCCGACGCCUGGUGCUGGGUGGUGCUCCAUGGUGACUGGCGACUUCACUUCCUGAUGCACUACUCUCCCCUCCGCCUGUCAUUUCCUCCAAGAAGAAUCACAGCUGCACUUUUUUUUCUAACAGUUUGUUUUGCUCGUGUGCCUGGAGACCCCAAAGCAAGGGAAGAAUUCUAAAUGAGUGAAAUGUAUAAACACGAUAAGAAAUCAACAUACACAUCCUCUGCGAGACAGUAGAAAAUCAUAGGAUCCAACCAAAGGAAGAAGCCAGGAAAGUCAAUAAACAAGUUGGUAGAGAUGCAAUAGACAGAGAUGAAAUGUUUAGAAGAAAUAAGUCAAUACUGAGAGGAGGAAGAAAGAAACAACACGUUGUGUGAAAGGAAAAGAAAAACUGGGACCCCAAUUCACUAUACCAGAAGAAAAAAAAACUAAGCUGAAAGCUGACUCAUGCAGAAACUGCCUUUCCUUCUGUUCCUAAGCAGAUAAAGCUAAGCUACAGAUAAAAGGUUAAAUAUCUUCACAGGUUCACCUUAUCGGUAAAGUGCCAAUUUACUGAGCUUGAGACGAAUACAUAAUUGACUAUUGUCCUACCUGAUCCUUUUUCUUGCAACACGUGGAUUUCCAUACCCUCCCUCUUUCUUCUCCAGCCUGCUUUUCCCCUUUAAUUGUUUUUGUUUUUUGACUGGAUCUUGCUCUGUCACCCAGGCUAGAGUGCAGUGGCACGAUUUUGGCAAACUACAACCUCUGCCUCCCAGGUUCAAGCAAUUCUCCUGCCUUAGCCUCCUGAGUAGCUGGGAUUACAGGUGUGCGCCACCAUGCCCAGCUAAUUUUUGUAUUUUUAGUAGAGAUGGGGUUUCACCAUAUUGGCCAGGCUGGUCUCAAACCCCUGACCUCAGGUGAUCCACCUGCCUCAGCCUCCGAAAGUGCUGGGAUUACAGGCAUGAGCCACCACACCCAGCUUCCCCUUUAAAUAUUGAAGCCAUCUCUCAAAAUUAUCUUUGGAGAAAGGCACAAACCCCAGACCAUUUCUUUGAUUCCGUGCUUUUUGCUUCUGGGCAUGUCCUUAACCUUGGCAAAAUAAACUUCUAAAUUGAUUGAGACCUGUCUCAGAUACUUUUUGGUUUACAAUUAUAAUCUAUGGUCCCCUAGAUCAUAAGGGCCCUUCCUAUACCCCAGGAAACUCAGUGUUACUAAUACCUAGAAAUUGCCCCUUUUCUGUCUCAUCAGCCAGCCCGUAGCCCCUGGGUGCCCACGUGGCCUCACCUGGCCCCAGUUCACCACAGCCUCUUUGGAUUCUGUGGUUUAACUCAUCAGAUGUGCCAUAUCUUGCUAAUUACAGGAGCAAGGUAAGGAACUAACCUUUACUAAGGAUGCAUUAUUGGCCAGACACUACUGACUCUUACAGUGGCCACUAAACCCUUCACAAUAAUAUCUACUCUUUAGAUAAAUGUUUUUGCCAUUUUAGAAAUUAUGUUGCGUGAAGUCGCUCGGCCAGUAGCAUUGGAAUUGGAGCCCAGACUCAAAGCUCUUAACUCAAAGCCCCCGCUCUGUUCUCCCGCGCAUGGUUGGACCCCUAGCCCUUGGCCCCCUUCCCUUGCCUUUGACCUGCCCCUCAAAGGACUGAGGAUAAUUUGUAGGAAAUCCUGUUCAAGCAAUCUAUGAUCCAGGUAAUCUGUGGUGAGUGAUGGCCAAAGCUAGAGUUGAAGAAGAACACCAGCAUGACAAAGGCAUGUGAGGAGUGGGGGCGGGGAAGCCAGGGAGGGGGCUGGCUUCUUGGUUCAGCCAAGAAGCAGCAACAACUAAAGAGGGAGACAUAGUAGGAUGAAAUGCUAAUUAGUGGCUUCCGGGAUUUUACAAAUAUCUUUAAAUUUAGUGAGUUUUUCAUAUACUUCACAUGAAAAUCGCCUCCCCACACACAGGUCGCAGAAGUUGGUGGCCAUCUGUGCCAUCUUCCCAGUGAACUUGCAGACAAAACCAACAGCACAAUGCUGAUAUGAAGAACAGAUGAAAUUUACAGAUGUUUGCACUUUUCCAUGUGUUUAUUGGCCCCCAUGGCUCUUUCCUGAGUGGCCUGACCAGCCCUCUCCCCCAGUCUCCUGGGCCCCAUAGUAGAGGGAGCAGAAGAGGGUGGGAAGGAGCCCCAGCUGGGAGGAGACAGGAAGGAAAAACCAGCCUUUGUUUGAACCUGAACCCUCGUCCCAGGCUGGCUACCAGUCCUCCUGUUCCAGCCUUCCUUUUCCAGUAUGAAUAAUCCCAGUUUCUUUCAUCUGAACUCCUGAACCUCCUUCAGCUCUUCCAGUCCACCAGCACCCUCGUGAUUCUGGGCUUAACACAGGUGAGUCCCUUGGUGCAGUUCAUUCUUCUCUUUUCUCUUUGCUUGACUAACGCAUCCUUCAGGUUUAAGCUGAAAGGCCCCUUUCCCUGGGAAGGUUUUCCUAACCCCGCUGAACUGGAAUGGGAGUUCCUGACUCACGCAUCUCCCAUAGGAGUGGUCAUCACACUGUAUUGUUAAUCAGUAGAAAUGGCCCGUGUCUGCUUUGUUUCAUGGAAUAUCUGCCUCAGAGCAGGGCUUGGCUUAGGUAAUACUAGUAGGAUGAGUGUUCGAUUUGUUGAAUUCCAAGGACCUAACCACCUUCUGAUUUUAGGAUGACAUUUUAGUCCUUGAUUUCCCUCUGGUUCUUGUUCCAAACCCUGACGUUCUGCCUGCAGACCCUGCAUUCUCAGCCUCCAGGCAGCUCCACCCUGCUGCCUGCUCUAGGGAAGUCUGUAUCUGGAGCUUCAAAGGGCUUGUUCUCUAUUAGCUGGGAGGGCUUCAGCACAUUCGUCAAAUCAGGGCGGACUAUUACACUAUCCAGACUCCUCAGGCAAGUUUUGUUUACCCUGGGAUCUCCUCCAAGAUAUAAGCUUAUGGCUUCAAACACUUUUUAUGGUCUCCAGAUUUGAACAGACUCAGAUUUUCCCCCUUCAUCUUCCAAUCCUUCCCUAAGAUUUUCCCCCUUCGUUUGUUCAUGCUUUUUUACAAAUGCUUUUCCACGUGUGACUUCCCUGCAGAAAACUGGCUCCAUCACUUAUACCUGGUGCUGAGAUUAGUCUUGCAAAUGCCGAGGACUAGUUACAAAGGGCAGGUGAUGUGCUUCCUGAUGCUGUUUAGUUAUCAAUCCAUGUUUACAGAGGCGUUCCUUCUUCCACAGGGUGGGUGUGGGUGUUCUUUUGAUUUAGACACAGUGAAGAUAAACUAGUGGUUUCCUUAAGGAAAGUGAAGUUGGAAAAAAAAUGUAAGGCAGGAGUUGAGGUUAAAGAAGACACAAGCUUGGUCUCCUAUGUGUAGACUAAGAUAGCUUGAGUCUUGGUGGUCACAGAGGCCAAACUCGUCUUGGCCCCUCCCUUACCUUCCCUUUCAGAACGUUCCAAUUGCUUCUGGGUUCUGUGGCUCAACAUACUCCCCCCGGUUAUCCAUGUCUCCUGCGUACUCUGCCCGCUCCAGUUAGUCCUUGCCUCCAACUUAGCUGAGAGCCAUUUAAAGUAUGCCACCUCCCUGGAUGCUGGCAGAGGUUCCUGGUUAUCCCAGUAUUCAAUAUCUAAGCCCCAAAGUCAUAAGGUGGCAUGGGGAAGCAGAAGUUGUUACAGCACAGUGUUGACUGAUGAACUUACCUGCCAUUUAUAAAAGGUAUCCAAAUGCAAACACCCCAUCCUCGUUAAACUUGCCUCCUCCCUCUAGCCGGCCGCCUCAUGCUCCUUGUCAGCCAUCCUCCCACUGAUUUCCCAGCGCUGUAACCAUACAGAAAUAUGACGCAAAGCAAAUGCACUUUUUUUAUGCAGUGGGCAGUGAAGUUAGAGAACUACUCAAUCAUGGGUAAGCCCAUGGACAAAGAAGAAUCUGGCAGAAUUAGAGCAGCUAACAGAGGGAAAAUUGACAAGGAUGUGACAAAAAAGCCUCUUCAAAAGAAGGUGAUUUGAAUAUCAAAGGUGGAAGAGAGGCCCUCAGGAAAUUAUGAAACUCUUGAAUAUUUUUGCAAAAGUAUUCCUCUUCAUCUUCCUGCCUUUGAAUGUGAAAUAAAGGAAAACAUAAUGUGUUGUCAUAUCAUUUUAUCAAACAGCUAAAGCCCCAUAUAAUUGACUCAUUCUUUUUUCAGUCUCAGAAUUGUGCACAAUCAUAUAUACCAUAUCUGUUUUAUAAAAUAGAUAAAGUAAAUGUAUUUUUAUGAUUUUGAGUUUUGUUCAGAGAUAAGUUUCCAAUCUAACCCUUUUUGUCCUAUUUACUGUGGCAGUUUGGAUGAGGUUGCAGGUAGGGAGGUAUGUGAGACUGAAGGCAGGUCUAAGGAAGGAGAAAGAGUAUUUUAAGCAGAAGAAACAGCUAACAGGAUAUGGAAUGGAACUUAUCCUGUUGUCUCAGGUGUUGGCCAAAGCUUCAAAGUUGGAGUCAGUGGGUAAUAAGCACUCCUACAUUCUAAAGAGAGGUGCUAAAAGAAUCCCAUUGGACUUGCUAACGAGAGGCUAGAGGUUCAUGGAGAGUUCCUUGAAGGGAAUGUGUAAGAGGAGCAAGCUUUGCUUUUUCCUUCCUUUUCCAUGGGGAAGGGGAUCCCCUCCCCCAAAGCAAGCAAAGAGGGGUCCAAGAGAACCUCGGGUUUAGGGAGAUCCUUGCAAGGAGAGACAAACUCUCAUUUUAUGGACAGAAGCUUGUUGAGUGGUGAAAACAUUUCAGCCCGCAUAGUGCUACUACCAGAGUUGCGAAUGCCAAAGGUCUUGGGAGAGCUUGCCAUGUGUCCCCUGGAGUCUGGGGGCAUGAUGACUGGCACCUGGCUCUCGAGAGCUGUGAAAGCAGGAGCCAGGUGGAGCCAGGAGGCAGGGUAAGAAGAGAGAGGGCAGCUGGGUAGCAAGAUGCCAUUUGAAAGUGUCAAAAGGCAAAUUACAACACGUUUAGUUUAAAGAUCUACUUGGCUUUUAUUAGUGAAUCUAGAAGUGGGCAACAUCUCAUUCAAUAAAAUACAAUGAGUGUUCUGAUGAGCUGAGCAGAAGAGGUUAACUUUAUGGACAGAAAAGGGCUGAAGAGAGCAGAAAUGGGGAACAAAAAGUGGAUUGGUUAGCAUCAGGUUACUUUCGGUUACUUUCCUUGGAAGGAUUAAAGCAGAGGGGACUUCCUUGUCAUGUCGGCUAAAACUGGCCUGUUUGGGGAUUUGGCUGUAAUCUCUCCUGGUUUCUCAGAAGGUCAGAUAAACAGCAACAUUUGGUGAUGUGGAACUUUAGCGGGAGUGUUUCCAUUUUGGUCUGAUCUGUUGGAGCCUAGUACCGGAGCUCAGCCCAAAUCAAUGGCCUCCUAUAAGUUUUACUUAACAAAAAGUUAAGGGCGAGUGGGUUUCCAUGGCCCAGUGACAGCCAGAGGUAUUAAAGAGAGAUACCUGUUGGGGCAUAAGUGUCUAGCAGACAGGAACUCAGAGAUAGAGGGCAUAGGACCCAAGGCAAGAAGUCCCUGUGCUGGGAGAAGAUACCUCAAAGUCCCAUCAAUAUGCCCUAAAAAGAGUUAGGCUUAGAGUGCACAGGACACCAAACACUCAGGCAAAGCCACAAACUGCACAUGGUGCUCUCUGCCCCUUCCCUCUCAUUCCUCCUCAUCUGCUCAGUCCUGGGGAAUCCUGAAGGGUGAGAGGGGAAGGGGAAGGGGAUUAAGACGGGGAGAGGGCUGUGAGAAGAUUAAAUGACAGAAGGAGGCUGGGCACGGUGGCUCAUGCCUGUAAUUUCAGCACUUUGGGAGGCCAAGGCAGGUGGAUCACC